AUGAGAGCCCCGGCCCUGGACCCUGGCCCCGGCCCGCAGACCUGGACCCAAGACCCCCGAUCGGAGCCCCGGCCCUGCCCCAGACCUCGGCCCCGGCCCGGCCCCGCCGCCGCCCGCAGGGUCGCCCGCCCCCGCGCCGCCGACCCCACCCUGGCGGGGCAGGAAGACGCGGCGGCGGCGGGGGAGGGGCGGCGGGCGCCCCGGGGCGGCGGGCGGGCCGGGGUCGCGGCUGGGGCAGGGCCGGGCCGGGCCGCCGCGCUCACCUCGGCGCCUCGUCCCCCUGACGCCCGCGCCGCCGCCUCCGCCGCCUCGGCCGCCGCUCGGGAGGUGGUCGCGCUCGGGCCGCUCCGCGGGCGCUGCGGGCAGGUGCGCCGGCGAGGCUCGGUCCGGUCCCGCGGCGACCGCUCCACUCCCGCGCCCGCGCCCGCUCCGCCGCCGCCGCCGCCGCCGCCUCCGUCCGCCCCUCAGACGCCUCCAGCCAUCGGGAUGGGCGCGGCGGCCCCUGCCCGCAGCCUCGGGAAACCCCACGGCCGCGUCACCGCGCACGCCGCGCGCGCGCACGGCCCGGCGCCCGCACGCCGCGCGCGCGCUCCCCCCACCCCGGCUCCGGCUCCGGGCCGCGCGCGCGCGCGCGAGCAGCUUAAAGGGGCCGUGCCGCGCCCUCGGGGACCCGCUGCAGGAGCCCCCAGGCCACGCCCGCCCCUCGCCCGCGCCCGGCUCUGCGCCCCAGGGGCCUGCCCGCUGCCGACCCGCUCGGUUCCCAGCCUAGUGGACGUGGAUGGAGGCCGCAGGGCGGGAGCCGGAUCCCUCCCCGCCCCUCACCCACACCUUGCACCCCGAACCCCUAACCCUCACCCUGCACACGGGCCUGUGCACGCAUCCCGCACCUGGCGCAAGCGCUCCGCAACGCAAACCGCACCCGGUACCCGCGCAGGAACCGUGCAUCCUGGGCGGCAUGCUGUACCCGGCAUCCCGCACCGCACAUCUGCACCCCGAAUUCGGCACCGCACACCCUGCACUCGUGCCCCGCACCCCGCACAAACGCUCUGCACGGCAUACUGCGCCCCUUACUCACACACGAACCCUGCGCCCUGCACAUGCACAAGUGCGCGGUACCACCCAGCCCAGGCCAACCCUCAGGCCUGCAGGUGCAACGGAAUUGACUGA
rnacentral:lncRNA from 1 species